rnacentral:rRNA from 1 species
AGCGGCGGACGGGUGAGUAACGCGUGGGUAACCUGCCUCAUACAGGGGGAUAACAGUUAGAAAUGACUGCUAAUACCGCAUAAGACCACAGUACUGCAUGGUACAGUGGUAAAAACUCCGGUGGUAUGAGAUGGACCCGCGUCUGAUUAGCUGGUUGGUGGGGUAACGGCCCACCAAGGCGACGAUCAGUAGCCGGCCUGAGAGGGUGAACGGCCACAUUGGGACUGAGACACGGCCCAAACUCCUACGGGAGGCAGCAG